AUAUACCACUCGUACAUUCCGGUUCUCCGCGCCGCCCGCACUACCUGACGACCGCCCGCUACCUGUUGUUGGCC
rnacentral:sRNA from 1 species